rnacentral:rRNA from 1 species
CAUUAGCCUAUUAAUUGUAGGCUGGCAUCAACGGUUAGACGACAGAAAAUCUGUCUUUUUCUUUAAAAUCUUAAUUUGACGUUUAAGUGAAGAGGCUUAAAUUAAAUAGCGGGACGAGAAGACCCUAUUGAGCUUUAGGCUUUUAUUUUUUAUAUUAAAAUAAAAGUUUUGGGUUGGGGCAACCAUUCCUAGAAUUUAACAGGAAUAAAAAUUAAAAGUGAAUCAAAUCUUUUUUGGACCCGGAAAUAUUCCGGUAAUUGGAAAAAGUUACCUUAGGGAUAACAGCGUAAUU